UACGUAGGGUGCGAGCGUUGUCCGGAAUUAUUGGGCGUAAAGGGCUCGUAGGCGGUCUGUCACGUCGGGCGUGAAAACUCAGGGCUUAACCCUGAGCCUGCUUCCGAUACGGGCAGACUAGAGGUAUGCAGGGGAGAACGGAAUUCCUGGUGUAGCGGUGAAAUGCGCAGAUAUCAGGAGGAACACCGGUGGCGAAGGCGGUCCUCUGGGCAUUACCUGACGCUGAGGAGCGAAAGUGUGGGGAGCGAACAGG
rnacentral:rRNA from 1 species